GGCUGAUCCAAUGGUGGUGGGUUAUCAGAACUUAUUAACAUUAGUGUCACUAAAGUUGGUCUAUGACCCUCCACUGCAAAAUUGGCUGGCUUUUA
rnacentral:Y_RNA from 1 species